UAAAUACUCCCUCUGUCCGGAAAUACUUGUCAAAAAAAUGGAUAAAAAUGGAUGUAUCUAGAAAUAAAAUAUGUCUAGAUUCAUCCAUUUCCCUGACAAGUAUUUUUGGACGGAGGGAGUAGAUC
rnacentral:pre_miRNA from 1 species